UAGAGAAUCUGAAUUUCACCCGUAGCUGACGAUUCAUUCUUUAUACUGUAAGAAACUGUGAGUUACUAUCCAGGAACAGGGAUUUAUAUCCCUAGUGAAUGCUGCAUAUGGAAUAAGGGGCUCUUCUAUUCUCUUUGAAAUAGCAACAGCCGCUCCCAGCAUUCCAGAAAUAUGCAGAGCAAGUUUUUCCCACAAGAAAGUAUCUACCUUGAAGAUAUGGAGCCAAGACUCUCUACAGCUUGCUUUCUUCAUCACAGCCUCCAAAUAAUAGCAUGCAAUAAGAACAUUUCUUUCACCUUUAA